GCGGCGGCGGCGGCGGCGGCAGCUGCAAGUUGGGCUGCAGGGGCAGCGCAUACACUACAAUGGCUGCUGGAAAGAGGCGUAAGGAAACAAUUUCCAGGCCCGCCGCGUCCAGCCCGAAAUAUGAGAAAAAAAUUAUUAGAAAUUCCGCGGGUGGUGUAAAGGCGGCGGACGGGCCGGAGGGAGGAUGUUAAAGCCCCGCGAUUGGCCAAAAUGGGAAGGACUGGAUUCCGCUCUCUUCCACGAAGAGUCAAUGGGACUGGCUAAGAUCAAGGUCUGAGGCUUUUUCCAUCUGUCAUCAGUCCCUUUUUGCUUUCUUUUACGACCACAUGAAACUUGAGAAGCCACCUAAAGCUAAAUCAUUUAGUGGAGUUGGGCAGUUCCCAAGUGUCCAACAAGAAGGCCUGCUUUAGGCUGCGAUGGCCACUGUCAUUCCUGGUGAUUUGUCAGAAGUAAGAGAUACCCAGAAAGUCCCUUCAGGGAAACGUAAGCGUGGUGAAACCAAACCAAGAAAAAACUUUCCUUGCCAACUGUGUGACAAGGCCUUUAACAGUGUUGAGAAAUUAAAGGUCCACUCCUACUCUCACACAGGAGAGAGGCCCUACAAGUGCAUACAACAAGACUGCACGAAAGCCUUUGUUUCUAAGUACAAAUUACAAAGGCACAUGGCUACGCACUCUCCCGAGAAAACCCACAAGUGUAACUAUUGUGAGAAAAUGUUUCACCGGAAGGACCACCUGAAGAAUCACCUCCACACGCACGACCCCAACAAAGAGACGUUCAAGUGCGAAGAGUGCGGCAAGAACUACAACACCAAGCUCGGGUUCAAGCGGCACCUGGCCUUGCACGCGGCCACAAGCGGCGACCUCACCUGCAAGGUCUGCCUGCAGACGUUCGAGAGCACAGGUGUGCUGCUGGAGCACCUGAAGUCCCACGCGGGCAAGUCGUCGGGGGGCGUGAAGGAGAAGAAGCACCAGUGCGAGCACUGUGACCGCCGCUUCUACACACGCAAGGACGUGCGCAGACACAUGGUGGUGCACACGGGAAGGAAGGACUUCCUCUGCCAGUACUGCGCACAGAGGUUCGGGCGCAAGGACCACCUGACGCGGCACAUGAAGAAGAGCCACAACCAGGAGCUCCUGAAGGUCAAGACGGAGCCCGUGGACUUCCUGGAUCCCUUCACCUGCAACGUGUCCGUGCCCAUCAAGGACGAGCUCCUCCCGGUGAUGUCCUUACCUUCCAGCGAGCUGCUGUCGAAGCCCUUCGCCAACACGCUGCAGCUGAACCUCUACAACACUCCGUUCCAGCCCAUGCAGAGCUCGGGCCCCGCCCACCAGAUGAUCACAACUCUGCCUCUGGGCAUGACGUGCCCCAUAGACAUGGAUGCUGUCCACCCCUCUCACCACCUGUCCUUCAAGUGCCCGUUCAGUUCUACCUCAUACGCGAUUUCCAUCCCCGACAAAGAACAGCCGUUGAAGGGGGAGAUCGAGAGCUACCUGAUGGAGCUGCAGGGCGGCGCGCCCUCCUCUUCCCAGGAGUCGCAGGCAUCGUCCUCCAAACUAGGGCUGGAGCCGCAGAUCGGGCCCCUGGAUGAUGGCGCAGGGGACCUCUCCCUGUCAAAGAGCUCCAUUUCUAUCAGUGACCCCCUGAACACACCAGCAUUGGAUUUUUCUCAGCUGUUCAAUUUCAUACCAUUAAACGGUCCUCCCUAUAACCCGCUGUCUGUGGGGAGCCUGGGGAUGAGCUACUCCCAGGAGGAGGCUCAUCCUUCUGUGUCUCAGCUCCCUCCGCAGACCCAGGAUCUUCCAGACCCUGCGAGCACCAUAGGUCUGGGCUCUCUGCACUCACUGUCAGCAGCUUUCACCAGCAGUUUAAGCACAAGCACAACCCUGCCACGUUUCCAUCAAGCUUUUCAGUAGGAUUUCACGUGCGGGUCCAUUGCAGAAACGUAUGUGUAGCCCUGCCUUAGAUGACCAUUUUUAUUUUAGUGCCUACUUUAAGACAGUAUAAAAAUUUCUGCUUCUGUAUAGUACCAAUUUUCAUUAAGCCAGUAUAAACUAGAAACUAGCUUUUUAAAUGAGCUUUGGAACCGUUCGUGUUCAGUUAUGUUUACCUGGGUAUUUUGUCCUGAUCACUGCCAAUUGUCGUAUUUUAAGAUGACUUCUCAUAUAGGAAAGCCAUUAUUAGUAAAGUCUUACAAAUCCCAUGUUCAAAUUACUGUUAGAUCUUAAAUUUUUCAUUUUUGUCCAAUAACAAUGGCUCUACCUUUUGACAUUUGGCUCAUUAAAAAAUUUUGCAGUAGAAUGUCAGUUUUCUAAAAUGUAUAUGAAUGACCUGAGAGUUUUAAAUUUUUUACUAGCCUCUAAAUGGAUGAUUUAUCAGAUGCUUCACGUGAAUUAAGAAUCUGGUCUGGGGACAUGACAUAUGUUUCUUAGAUAUACCAUCACUUCAGGUUUACGUGUCUCAAAACACACUGUCUUCCCAGUAUGUAAAUUAAAGAAAACAAAUACCAGUUCACCCAAGUUGCUUCUAGCCUACUGAGGUCCACGUGACGUUGGAGGAGAGCUUUAGAUAUUGAGCAUUCUUCAUUAGCAAUGGCAGGCUGUUAUCUCUGAGAAAUGAGUGCCUAUGUGGACCGUGUCUUGUUUUUCUCACGCUGCGUCGGCAGCUGUGUCUACCACACAGAUAGUCUGCCGUGAUGCCACAGACCCACAGAGGUUGUGUAGUUCUGUGCUGGGAACCCGCACAGAGCUCCUUUUCAAUCGUACACAUUGAGACAAUAGUACCCACAAUGGUAAAGGCACGCUCCGAUCACCCCCAGGUCCUUCUACAACGUUGUCAACCCUCUGAGGAUGGAAGGCAGUGUCUUUUGAAAAGUUAUCUAGCUUAGAAAUGACAGGACUAUUGCUAAUGUAUAAAACACUUCGUUGUAUAAGCUUCAGUGGUACAGAUGAACCAGAAUGAAUGUGUAUCUUCUCAGAAACACUCCUUCAAUCUUCUGUUGGACAUGCUGCUAAUGUAACUUGGGAUACAACUCUUCAUGGUGCUACAAACUUCUCUCAUUCAGUCGUACUUUUUUUAAUCCAUAGGAAAAAAGAACGGACUACGUUAGGUGUAAAGGUGUACAAUAUAUUUUUAUACUGUGACUUCAUUUGUCUUUAACAAGACUUUUACACCACCCAUCACAAUGUAUUCAUGUGCACUUGCAAAAGGAAAUCUUGGACGUGCAAAUGUUACCAGAACAAACCCAGCUUUGUCCACAGGGUGACUGUAACUCAGAACGAAACGUGGGCUUUAUAAUAUGGUGUGGAGUGAAGAACAUGCUGUAUGUUACUAACAGCCCUUUGAAUUUAACAAAAACUGGGAAUCCCUUUGGAAGUGGAUUGCAUCAUGCCUGAACGUAAGCUGGACUGCUGAAAUGGUAUUUUUAGCUGAUGAAAAAAGUGUUUGGACUAGUACUCUAAAAAUGUUCUAAUGAUACAGUUUUGAGUCAAAAUAGAAAAGAAAAACUCUGCAUUCCAGGCUGAAUUUUGUAUAUUUUUAUUGCAUUUAAAAUUGCUAUUCUGUGAUUUUUGGGAAAUCAAGUGGCUUAUCAUGUAUAUCAUGUACUUAAAAUGUAUUCACAAACUACUGUUGUAUUUGUAUAAAAUAUAGACAAAGAUCGUAUUUUCUGUGUGUGUAUAAGCUCUGUAAAAUAGCAAUCACGUUAUGAAGCUGCAGUGAUACUACAUUUUAAACAUCCACAUCCAAAGAAGCAGGCUAUUUAUUGUCCAGUUACCCAGAUAUAAAAUAUUAAUUUGCUGCUAAUUAAACAAUAGUACUGCAGCUUCUUGUGGCCUACAGUGUUAUGUUUGCUGUAAGAAAAAGAUAUGUGAACUCCACAAAAUAUAUGAAUAAAAAUUAUAGAAUGGCUUUAGACAAUGUAGAUCUUCCUGAAAUUUUAAUAGAUGAUAAAUUUCUAUUUGGUAUAACAUUUUUUUCCCUUUGAAUUUUAAAUAUUUUCUUAUUUGAUAAAUAUAAGAUUCUAAUAGCUGCCUCUAGGACAAUACGUGGUUGUUGAAAUGUAAAGUUCUAGGGUUUCUUUUGUUUUGUUUUAAAACUUCUGUACCUUUAAAGGAAGGAUAGAAAUUGUAAAUAAAAAAAUCAAAACAUCAUGCAUCAAAACUUUAAUCCAGGUAAGAAUUCAAAAAAAGAAUCCCCAAAA